rnacentral:rRNA from 1 species
UACGAAGGGGGCUAGCGUUGCUCGGAAUCACUGGGCGUAAAGGGUGCGUAGGCGGGUCUUUAAGUCAGGGGUGAAAUCCUGGAGCUCAACUCCAGAACUGCCUUUGAUACUGGAAGUCUUGAGACCGGAAGAGGUAAGUGGAACUGCGAGUGUAGAGGUGAAAUUCGCAGAUAUUCGCAAGAACACCAGUGGCGAAGGCGGCUUACUGGUCCGGUUCUGACGCUGAGGCACGAAAGCGUGGGGAGCAAACAGG